CUUUUUACUGGAAAUACAGAAAUGAUAAAUAAAGUCAAGAGUCGUGUUUAUUUGUUUUCUUACAGAAUUAUAAACAGGUGACAUCUUUCUUCCCCUAAAGAGGCUGCAGAACAAUUUGGCAGUGAUUCUUUUCUUACCUUGACCCCUAAUCAGAAGCAUUGAAGUCUCUUUUCUCACACAACAGAUAACCCCUAUGGAUUUGCAGACCUUGCAGUAUACUUAUAUUACCUGAACUAGAACUACUUGCUGCUGCAAAAUGCUGAACACUCUGGACAUGAGAGAAGACAGUACAAACUGAGAGCACUCAGCAACUCACAAGAGCUUUUUUUUAAUCUUGAAUUGACUGUGACCUUUAUUACUUAAAAGUGUAAGUGGAAAAAUGUCAGUCUUCAUAGUCAUGAAUAAAAGUCCUGUUAGCUUCUGCAUGAUACCCUUCCCCAGUUGAAAAAUCAUACCUGCCCAAAAACUUUCAGACACAACAAAUGUUAUAGUCGAUGUUGUAGAAAUCAUUCCAUUUCACAAAAGAAAUUACUUAAUAAUGUUAAUGGGUUAGAGUUUUCUACAGUACCUGUUACAGAACCAGUGGUUAUGUAAUACAAAUUAUUAAUCACUUUUAAGCAUCUCUGUAGAGUCAGAGAUGUGUUGAAGAGAAACUGACAGCUGAACAAAACAUUUCAGUAAAUUGAAAGCAUCUCAGCUAAUAUAUCCAAUAUGGAGCAAGAAACAAAAUCAAAACAAAGAAGUCUGUAGUGACCUUACUCUAAAACCUUGCUAAAAAACCUAACAAAGGUGUAAGUUCCAUUUAUUCAAUAGAAUUUGAAGGUUACCUUUACAUUUUACUUGUCAAUACAAGCACUAAACUAACUUUUAAAUAGUUUGACAACAGUCUAGCCUUAAUUAUAAGCUAAAAAUAUCUAAAGGCAUUUCUAAAGCUUAUCUUAGAGAAAGGUAACUACUAGAUUUAAAUCAAUAUUUUAGUUAUGACUUCUAGCUCUUCAAUUUUAGGAGAUGAAAUUUCAAUAUUAUUCUAUGGCAACAUUUAAACUUCCUACUGCACCAGUGUUAGGGUGUUCAUAAUCAUUGAUGCUAGUGAGCACAGUGCUAAUUUCUCAGGGGCUGUUCUCUCUCUCUUUGUAACGUCUAUCCACCGCUGUAUUAGCACCUGAAUGUGCUAAGGGAGUAAAGUACUUAUAGGAUGCAAACAAUUUAAUGUGCAAAGGGAAACUGCUGGACAAGUGAAUAAAAUCUAAAAAAAAAAUUAUGUUCUAAAAUCAAUAUGAUGCAAGGUUAAAAAGGAUUCUUUUUGUUUUGUUUGGUUUUUUUCAGGAAUUCGUUUGGCAAAAAAACUUGAAAAAUGCUAGUACUGAUAAACAAAAUAAUGUUGUAUGAAGCCAAGAUAAAUUAAUCAAAAUUUGCACUAGCACCAUCUAGUUUCUGUCUGAAAGCUCAGAUCUGAAUGACUGCAGGUCCAUUUCUGACAGAUGGUCACUCAGCACAACUUCUGACCCUCCGGACUUAUUACACUUUUCACUAAGGAGACUAGCAGUGUUGCUGAUGUUAGCUUUAUGUUAUUCCACUAAUUAUGCAAUGGAAUUAUGGCUAGCUUAUACUUGUUCUUGCUCCCUUUCCUCUGAUCCUUCCAAAGCAUUUCAGAGUGACCAACGAUGGAAAAAAUUCCAAUAAAAUUUGCAUAACAGAGUUGGAGAAAAGAGAUCUAACAGGAACUUGUAGCAACUGCUAACUGUGAGUCAAUUGCAGAAAUGCUGUUGAUGGUACUGAUGCCAUUUUAAUGAGAUGGGAUUUUCGGAUGUUCAUAUUUAUGAACAGGUACAGUCCAGUACUGUACAUAUUACAAUAGAAAACACUCCAUCUAUUUCAAGGGGCUGGACAUGAUCCUCUAAGCAACUUUGUAUCCGCUGCACAAUUUUUGGGGUUACCUUGACUGCAGAUAAAAGAAACAUUUUUUAUUUUUUUAUUACAACUGAUUUUGGCCAUAGCACUUUGGUCUAAAAUGAUAAAUAAUGCACAAAUGACACUACAGGAUGCAUUCCUAUAAUCACUGUCUCAGAUGUCUCACAUUGAGUAUAUAAUGGAUUUAAAGUGUUUGAGCCUACUUGAGUCUUUUUGUAUUGGAGCAUUUUUGUGCUCCAGUUCUCUUUCCAUGGAUAUGUUUUUGAGCUGAUUGAUUACCUCAUAAGGUGCUUUAAAAGCUCCAGGCAUGAGAACAUGUAGUUCAGUGACAAUAUGUGCUGGCAUUUUAGCACUUGGCUUACUCAGGCAACAUAUUGCUUGUAAUCUGAAUUGAUACCUUUUUAAUCUAACCAAGCACAUAAUUCCCAUGUCUGAUUUUUAUGCAAGAGUGACUGAAAUGUUCCUUUUUACAUAAUGUUGCUUCUACAAGAACACCUCUGCCAAACUACAUUCAAGUGUCCAUUUUUUUUUUCACAUCACACCAGGCUUCAGUUGUAUGAGACAUAGGCCUCUUUUCUUUUUAGGAUCAUGCAUGGAUGAAUACAGGGAUAAAUAACAGGAUAGAUAACAGAGGAAAAGAGCAGUUAACUUCACUGCAUAAAACAAGUAGGUUUGCCCCCUUCAGCCUUAAACAAGAUUCUAUUUUGAGGAGAGUGCUUGAUUGGUUCCAUUAUGGGCAUGUAACAUUCUAAGAUUAGUAUGCUCUCAGGGAUAAGAAUGUCUGUAAGCAAGGAUGCCUUAAUUCCUUUCCCAUAGUCCCAGAAUUCAGGUUCAGUCCACUGUGUUUUGCUAUCAGUAUCUUCAGAGUAAAUGGUGAGGCAGAGAAAUUGAAGCCUCCAUAAAGAACAAAUUUGAGGUAUGCUGCACAGUGUGAUGUACAACUUUUAGCUUGUUUUUACAUGUAUCCUGUCUGGGAACUGCUUUAAUUUCAGCUGCACUUAUUAUUCCACAACAGCACCCUGAACAAAACUAAACCAUGACUAGAAUUUAAUUGAAAAUAUGGGAGUGAGUACAGAAGAAAAGGAGUACUGAAGAGUAAGAAGAGUCAGACAAUUUUGACAGUUUCUAAACAGGCAUUUUAUAGAUCGAUAUUUAUAAACCUGAUUACAUUGCAUCUACAGCAGCUUUAAAAUACAAAAUUAAUCUCCAGCAAUGUUUUAAUACUUCCAAAUUCUGUAAUAAAACUGGCAUUUGCACACAACGCACUACCUAAGUAAUUUUAAAUGUAAUAGUAUGACCUACACAAUUCAUCUGACGCAAAUCAUAGAUACACUAACCAGACUCUAAAUACACUGGGCUUGCUCAUCACUAGUUUUUCCUUUAUUUUAUUUUAUUUUAUUUUACUGAUCCCUUAUCGAUCCCUAUCUUCAGUGGCAGUAACUUCUAAAUUAUAUACAAAUUUUGUGAGCCUUUCCUGGCAAUCUCUAUUUCCAUGUGAAAAUUUCUAUACUACCCAAGAAUCUUGCAUUGUAUUUAAGUAUACAGAAGUAUUCUUUAAAUUGAACCAUUUAAAAAUUGUUCACUAAUGAUAUCCUAUAGGCAGGACAUAUAUUUAUUUAUUUAUUUAUUAAAUCCUAUAUUUGUCACCACAUGAUUAAGACAAACAGCAUCACAGCUGAACAAACUUUAAAGUUUGUUGUUGUGCUAUUUGCAUGCAUGUCCUUGUUCUGCUGGAAGUGUAAAGGAAAUCAAGCGUAUUUGAAGUAAAUCAAUAAAGAAAUGCCUAAGCCUUACUACUCUGAUUUUACUGAUAUUGUAGUUUGACUAAAUAAUAUGUUCAGCUACCUUUAUAAAUAAUUUCAUGGGAAGGCUAAGAAAACACAGUAGGAUAGUUUAUAAUUGCACAUGUUAUUUUUUCAGGGACAGAAAACUCAAUCAAAGGAUUUGAGACUUCACUGCAGGAACAGGGUGAUUUUAAGUUAUUCCUUACUUUUUAAGUGAAAUUAUGAUUUUUAAGGCACUCCAUAGUAAGAGUGGACUAAAGUCAUCAGAAUUGGUUGCUCUUGCUGAUCACAGAUCACUCUUAAGAACCUUUUGCAGGAUUUGACUUGUAUUUUUUCCUAAUCAAAUUCCAUAGAAUACUAUGACUGUUGUGUUCAAUAGCAUUUGCUGACAUUUAAUGCUUUCCUGCUUAUAUAUCAUCUGACAGUGCCUGAACCGACACCAACAAAUAAAGCUUCAGGGGAAUUUAAACAAGAGACUAAGUUUAUUUCCAGAAGAAGAAGGAAACACUGCUUUAAUCUGUUGUUUUGUGGAUUUCUAUAUCAAAGUGCUAAAUAGAAGAGUGUUAUCUUCUCUGCUUCUGACUUAUAUACAGGAAACCUGUUAAUCUCAGAUGGCACCUUCUCUUUCAAAGCAUCGGAUCUAUCACUGUAUUACAUACUCAUAAAAGCAAGAAGCCUUUAAUGUUUUAAAGGUGUGCAGAGUGAUGCCUUAAGCCCCUGAUGGGUUUUUUAUUUUUCUAAUAUUUGUAAGCCCUUAUAAGUUUUAUAAGUAGAUUUUAAAAGCAGCAACCCUCACUCCCUUGUCCCUUUCCCUCUAGCACCCUUAGUUUACACAUUCCUUAACCCUCUUACCCCAUUCUAUGCUCCCUAUAUCACUCCUACCCCCGAAUCCAGUAGAAAUGUUUAGUCUUUUGUCAAGGCAAGGCCUAGAUUGUUUGGAGAAUGCUUGUAUCUUGGCCUAAACUGCAGAACACGGUCAAAAAUUAGGUGACUAUGUACCCUUUGUGCUCUGAAGAUGAUGAGACUGAUGAAGAGGUGGUCCUGAAAUGCACCCCAGACCCAUUUCUCAGGGGGUGGACCCGGGGCAGUCCAGAGUAAAGGCCACAGGGUGGACACAUCUGGGAUUGGAUGGAUGGUAUUAUAAAAUGUAACAUCUCGGGCACAGCGGGCGCGCUUGUAACAUCUUUUGCCUUGGCACAAUAAACCCUUUCCUUAUCUCACCCCUAAUUAACUGCUCCGGAGAUUUUUUUUUAGCACCAGCCAAGUAGGCAUCAAGAGAAACAUUUAAAAUUUCCAAGUAUUUUAUAUAUCUGCUUCUAUCUUUCUGCGCUAUUUAAUUGAUAAUUAAAAUUAUUUGUAUUGAUUACUCAGUAUUUGUUUCCCACUCUACGGUACUAGAAUAUUUGGAAAUAAUUUAGAUUGGCUUAUAUCUGCUGCUCAUUGCAGAUGACGCUUAUUUUAGUCAUAAAAGCAAGAUUUCUGCAGCCAUUAUCUGGGUUAAAAAAUUUAUGAGAAAAUAAACCAGUGGUAUUUCAAAGUCAAAUUUAGAUUUGAGGAUGUUCCUAACAGUGCUGCUUAGAGUGGCAGAUGCACAAAAUGCUGGUUUGCUGAACUUGGUCUUUUUUCAGAACUGAGGAAUUCUGAGCCCAGACCAGCAUUCAGUUGUGUACUCAAGAUAUCUCUUCACCUUUGUCCUUGACCAAAACCUGUUGCUGUUACCAGGUAAAUUCCCAAUUUUGACAUCAGCAGCACAGUGUGAGUCUGCAGUAAUAUCCCAAACCAAAUACUCUGACUUGUAAGAGAAACUUUUGCUUUUACAACCUCUGUUCCACCCUACCUUACUUGACUGUCUGAAUUUCCCCAUAACACCGUUCAGAAAAUGCCAUUUUAAAGCUGCUUUUUCUAGUAAAUUAACAAUAUGUAAUUUUAUGGCAAUUUUUUUUCUUUUCUUUUGCAGUCAGGGGACCAGAAAUUCAUAGCUCUUAAUUUACUAGAGGAUGAAAAUUUGUCUGAGAAGUUUAGCAUUUCAAAGCAGGAGGCAAAGACAUCAAAGGAUUAGUGAUGACUGAAAUUAAGCAAGAUGCAGAGAAAAGUGUUGCUAGGUCAGAAGAAGCAUCUAUGAUUCUCUCCACUUAAGACCUAUUUAUACUUUCAGACCUUUGCUAAGGUGAAUAAACACUGGGUAUUUGUAUAACA